AACUUUUAGCGGUGGAUCUCUUGGCUCACGCAUCGAUGAAGAACGCAGCCAGCUGCGAUAAGUAGUGUGAAUUGCAGAAUUCAGUGAAUCAUCGAAUCUUUGAACGCAAAUGGCGCUCUUGGGUUCUCCCAGGAGCAUGUCUGUCUGAGUGUCGGAU
rnacentral:rRNA from 1 species